rnacentral:rRNA from 1 species
UGAAGACUCGGGAUUGUGGUUUGGCUCCUUCAUUGGGGCCUGACCGCGAGAACUUGUCUAAACCUUAUCAUUUAGAGGAAGGUGAAGUCGUAACAAGGUUUCCGUAGGUGAACCUGCGGAAGGAUCAUUA